GACGAACGCUGGCGGCGUGGAUUAGGCAUGCAAGUCGAACGGUAUCAUCCUUUCGGGGGUGAGAGAGUGGCGAACUGGUGAGUAACACGUAGGUUAUCUACCCUCAAGACGGGGACAACCCAGGGAAACUUGGGCUAAUACCGGAUGUGAGCAACUUUUAGUUGUUUGAAAGGUGGCGUAAGCUGUCGCUUGGGGAUGAGCCUGCGUCCUAUUAGUUAGUUGGUGAGGUAACGGCUCACCUAGGCAAUGAUAGGUAGGCGGCCUUAACGGGUGGUCGCCCACACUGGGAUUGAGAUACGGCCCAGACUCCUACGGGAGGCAGCAGUCGAGAAUAGUCUACAAUGGUCGGAAGACUGAUAGUGCGACGCCGCGUGAACGAUGAAUCCCUUCGGGGUGUAAAGUUCUUUUAUAUGUGAGCAGUGCUUCUUAUAUUAACAGUAUGGGGAGAGAGAUAUUAGCAUAUGAAUAAGCAACGGCUAACUCCGUGCCAGCACGCCGACGGUAA
rnacentral:rRNA from 1 species